rnacentral:lncRNA from 1 species
CUCUUUGACCAGGCUAGAGCGCCAGCGCUCCUCUGACCCGGCACACUUUGGCAAAGUUGCAGUGGCCUGUUUGCUUAGGCACUGAAGUGGAUGACCCAAGUUAGGAUGACAACUUGCAGAGAACGCGGAUGAGACCUUCAGUUUGUGCCCACACUCAUUUGCAGCAACCCUAACAGAGAUUGCGAAGAUUUUCAAAGUGGGGCACCUCGAUUUCUCGAAUCUGUGGUGUGGCGAAUAUCCGUGUUCCUCCUGCUUAACUAGCCUGUUUGGCAGGUCUGAUUCUAUUUAUUCUAAAGACAGAGUUGGAGAUGGGCUACCAUUGGUGUUGAUUGAGAUGACAAGCAGUCACCUGAGCCCAUACAGCUGUGGGAGAAAGUGCUUGCUGCCAAGCUUGAUGACCUAAAUUGAAUACCUGGAACCUACACGACAGAAAGAGAGAGCUGACUGCUGAAAGAUGUCCUCAGAUCUUCACAUGUGCACAGUGGCACCUAUCCAACCAUGCACAUAGUAUAUUAAAAAUUAUUUUUUAAAAAAUCCAGUGA